UCCUGCUUUUAGGGUUUCACUGGAAAAGCUAGCCUGUUGACUUUGGAGCCGACGAUCCAUGGGAAAGACCGAGUUGCUCGAUUUGAGACCGUCAUGUGGGAUUGGGAACAACAUUGACUUGAUCCAAGCCAACUCCUCAGAAGACCAGCUUGAUAGUAGAAGGCGGUUUGCAUGUAAUCUGAAGCUGACAAGAGGAGACAAAACAUAAAGUGCAAACUUUUGUAUUGGGGUGAACAUGUGAGCUUGGCUGCUUGUUACUGCUUCCCUGCUAUGGGUUGGCUUGAGCCUGAACCAUCCUGUCACCACCCUGUCAAACACUGCUUGGGGAGGCAGUCUCCAGUACACUGUGAUCACCAAAUGGCCCUCAGAGUUGGAAAAGAAGACAACACUAGAGGUCUUCUCCCCUGCCUACCCAGGUUUCUCUCUUGCCAUUUAUGGGUGGUGAAGCCAUGGCCCCACCCUAGAAUUCUGGGCCAGAAGAGCUUGGAACCUGUUGCUGUGAAGGGGGGUCGUUACUCACUGAAAGGAAAGCCUGUGAUGCAGGACAUUAGGUGAAGUCAUGUCAAAACAAGUCACAGUGGCUUGGACAGUUCUCAGGGAAGCAGUCUGUGUUCCACUGGCGAGCUUUGUGCAUCUCCCUUUUAACCUUUGGAAACUGCAGCUUCCAUCGGAGAAGAGGGUGUUGUGGUCAAGGUGGAAGCUCAGCAGUGCAAAAUUAAUGCUCUGGCCUUCAAAACCAGUCUCUUUGAUGGCUUGGAGAGAGUUAGGUUUUUGUCUGGGAGCAUCUAAAACCUCAUGUGUUACUGUUAAGAAAAGAAAUAUAUAUCUUUGUUGUUUUUCUUAACUCCAAAGAUAUAUAAACUAUACUGUUUAUCCUGCAUGAGAUUGACUUAUUUGAGGUUGGAAUGUUUAAUGACUA